AUACUUACCUGGUAGGGGAGACACCAUGGUCAGGCAGGUGGUUUUCCCAGGGCGAGGCUCAUACUCUGCACUAUUUUUUUUUUUUU
rnacentral:snRNA from 1 species